rnacentral:rRNA from 1 species
CAGGAUGAACGCUAGCUACAGGCUUAACACAUGCAAGUCGAGGGGUAGCAGGGUAGCAAUACCGCUGACGACCGGCGCACGGGUGAGUAACACGUAUCCAACCUUCCCAUAACUCAGGGAUAGCCUUUCGAAAGAAAGAUUAAUACCUGAUAGUACUUUUUCAAGGCAUCUUGAAAAAGUUAAAGAUUUAUUGGUUAUGGAUGGGGAUGCGUUCCAUUAGAUAGUUGGUGAGGUAACGGCUCACCAAGUCUUCGAUGGAUAGGGGUUCUGAGAGGAAGGUCCCCCACAUUGGUACUGAGACACGGACCAAACUCCUACGGGAGGCAGCAGUGAGGAAUAUUGGUCAAUGGGCGAGAGCCUGAACCAGCCAAGUAGCGUGAAAAGGAUGAAGGUCCUAUGGAUUGUAAACUUCUUUUAUAGUAGAAUAAAGUGAGCCACGUGUGGUUUUUUGUAUGUAUACUAUGAAUAAGGAUCGGCUAACUCCGUGCCAGCCGCGGC